UCAAGCUGGCUGCCUACUGUAUUUUUCUGGAAUCCAACAUGCUGUUGUGCUCGGUGCUACUUCUCCUUGCAAUCACAGGAGUCGUUGAUGGGAAUGACAUUUCUUCAGAGAUGGCUGCUGAUGUGUCUGUUGUGGAGGGAUCUCACAUGACUCUUUCCUGCAAUUACUCCUACAUCGGGUUAGCCACCCUGUUCUGGUAUCAGCAGGUCCCAAAAUCAUCACCUGAACAUCUGAUGACCAUUGUCAGUGAGGAGAAAAAUGAGACAUCGGGCAUAUAUCCUCAUAUGUCUGGGAGAAAGACUAAGAGCAAAGUGUUUCUGGAUAUUUCCCCUGUUAAAGCCUCAGACUCUGCUCUCUACUACUGCGCCCUGAGGCCCACAGUGAGGAUUAAUUCACACAGCACAGUGCAAAAACCUCACUUCCUCUAGUAAAUUUAACUUAGUCUUCUCCCU